rnacentral:snRNA from 1 species
UUGCUUUGGCAGCAAAUAGACUAAAAUUAGAAUGAUACAAAGAUUAGCUUGACUCCUGCAUAAAGAUGACAUGCAAAUUUGUGAAGCAUUCCAUAUUAUU